rnacentral:rRNA from 1 species
GGGGCGGGGAAUCCCCGGACAGUUCAUGAUCUCAUGAGUCUUGUCCAGGCUCAUUCCCCUAGUAUCGUUUUUCUUUGUGAAACUAGGCAGCCAAAAAAUAAAAUGAAGAGGUACCGUGCUCGGUUAGGCUUAAGUGGUUUUGAUGCUUGUGAUAGCAUUGGUCGUAGUGGUGGCCUUGCUUUGUACUGGCAUGAG